AUGAACGCUGGCGGCGUGCCUAAUACAAGCAAGUCGAGCGAACGGACGAGAAGCUUGCUUUUCUGAUGUUAGCGGCGGACGGGUGAGUAACACGUGGAUAACCUACCUAUAAGACUGGGAUAACUUCGGGAAACCGGAGCUAAUACCGGAUAAUAUUUUGAACCGCAUGGUUCAAAAGUGAAAGACGGUCUUGCUGUCACUUAUAGAUGGAUCCGCGCUGCAUUAGCUAGUUGGUAAGGUAACGGCUUACCAAGGCAACGAUGCAUAGCCGACCUGAGAGGGUGAUCGGCCACACUGGAACUGAGACACGGUCCAGACUCCUACGGGAGGCAGCAGUAGGGAAUCUUCCGCAAUGGGCGAAAGCCUGACGGAGCAACGCCGCGUGAGUGAUGAAGGUCUUCGGAUCGUAAAACUCUGUUAUUAGGGAAGAACAUAUGUGUAAGUAACUGUGCACAUCUUGACGGUACCUAAUCAGAAAGCCACGGCUAACUACGUG
rnacentral:rRNA from 1 species